rnacentral:lncRNA from 1 species
CAAGGCUGGUAAAAACUGAAUCAACUUCUAAAAAUAAUUUUAUAUUAUACUGUUAUAGGAUCUGGAGAAAAACCUGCUAAGUGGGCAUGUUCUGUCUAACAGAAUGUAUCUGUGGAAACACAAAGGAUUUGAUCCUCUCCUCAGAAAACAUUACAGCAAACAUGUGACUUUAUUCAAUGACAUGAAUGUAUGUAGGCUGUUCUCUUUUGGUCUUAUUUGUGGACACAACUCCUGGUCUUCAAUCGCAAUCACAAUAGUAUGUGACUGGAAAAUACAUUGAAGUCACGGAUCUUUAGAGAUAUAUUCCAUAUCACAAUGAAAAUGUUUAGCAUAUUAACUAUUUGUAUUUGAAAGGCCAAAUUUAUAAGAACCUUAUAUAAGGACAACAUGAUGAAGAAAGCUAUAGUAACCGAGCACAUUAACUAUUUUGAUUUUGAAACUAAUAUCCUGUCAUUUUUGGGAAGGAAACCUUUUUAGUCAGAUGAAUGCUGGUUAUACAGGGAAGGAUUGACAUUACUUUUCAGGCAGAGGAGGGGGAACGGGAGUAAUGAAUAAUUAAAAUGUUGCCUUGACUGUGCACAUUUUUACAAUUUUCUUUGUUAACCCUUCUUAAUAUCCCCUGUCAAAUUGUUCUCAUGCUUUUUACUUACUUAUUACCAUAGACAGACGAGAUUAUCCAGAGACUGGAAAAUAUACUGACAGUACCUGGAACUGUAGUUGAGAAGCAGCUAUUCAUAACAGAGGUCAUUUUGCCAGAGGUGUUGAUUCAGUGGUUGCAAGGCAACAGCAACAUGUGUCGUUACCAAGCAGAAUCUGUGCUUCUAACCACCACACCUUCAAAGACAAAGAAAGGGUAGGAUACAGGAUGUUCUUUCCUAUGUUGGUGUGCAAUUCGAUAUGAAACAUCACUUAAUGCAUUAGGCUUGCUGUGGCAUAUUAGCAGGUGAUGUUUUACAUAAAUCACAUUUACAGAUGAUUUCCUUUUUCCCCAGAGCUGCAAGAAAUGAAACAGAGACCACCGAAGAGGAAAACCUUCUGAUCCUACAUAGCCUGGCUGCAGCUGACUGGUGCGAUAAGGCAACAUUCAAUGGAGGACUGAAACUCCCUGCUGUCCUUUCAAUGGACAGAGAAGAAAGAAAAGAAGCCAUCCAGGAGAUGGACACCUGGGAUGGGGAACUGGAUCAGGAUUCUCCAGCAGAACUCUUUACAUUUGUUUUUGAAAAAAAAAAAAGACUACGACAACUUCUAUGAACAACGUGUGGAUAAAUUUUUUUUUUGACUGUUU